CCUACGGGAGGCAGCAGUGAGGAAUAUUGGUCAAUGGGAGAGAUCCUGAACCAGCCAAGCCGCGUGAGGGAAGACGGCCCUAUGGGUUGUAAACCUCUUUUGUCGGAGAACAAAACCCGGGACGUGUCCCGGACUGCGUGUAUCCGAAGAAAAAGCAUCGGCUAACUCCGUGCCAGCAGCCGCGGUAAUACGGAGGAUGCGAGCGUUAUCCGGAGUUAUUGGGUUUAAAGGGGGCGUAGGCGGUCCGUUACGUCAGCGGUAAAAUUGCGGGGCUCAACCCCGUCGAGCCGUUGAAACUGGAAGACGGGAGAUGGCGAGAGGUACGCGGAAGGCGGGGUGUAGCGGUGAAAUGCAUAGAUAUAGCGAAGAACUCCGAUUGCGAAGGCAGCGUACCGGCGCCAGACUGACGCUGAGGCACGAAAGCGUGGGGAUCGAACAGGAUUAGAUACCCGUGUAGUC
rnacentral:rRNA from 1 species